CCUACGGGAGGCAGCAGUAGGGAAUAUUGCUCAAUGGGGGAAACCCUGAAGCAGCAACGUCGCGUGGAGGAUGAAGGUUUUAGGAUUGUAAACUCCCUUUGUUAGGGAAGAUUAUGACGGUAUGUAACGAAUAAGUACCGGUUAACUCCGUGCCAGCAGCCGCGGUAAUACGGAGGGUGCCAGCGUUACUCGGAAUCACUGGGCGUAAAGUGUGCGUAGGCGGGGUAAUAAGUCAGAUGUGAAAUCCUGUAGCUUAACUACAGAACUGCAUUUGAAACUAUUAGUCUAGAGUGUGGGAGAGGUAAGCGGAAUACUCAGUGUAGGGGUAAAAUCCGUAGAGAUCAAGAAGAAUACUCAUUGCGAAGGCGACCAGCUGGAACAUUACUGACGCUGAUGCACGAAAGCAUGGGGAGCAAACAGGAUUAGAUACCCCUGUAGUC
rnacentral:rRNA from 1 species